UACAGAGGAGCCAAGCGUUGUCCGGAUUGACUGGGCGUAAAGCGCACGCAGGCGGUCGCGCGCGUGGGGUGUGAAAUCUGGCCGCUUAACGGCCAGGCGCCAUCCCAUACGGCGCGACUGGAGUGAUGCAGAGGUCGGUGGAAUUGCCGGUGUAGUGGUGAAAUGCGCAGAUAUCAGGAGGAACACCGAUGGCGAAGGCAGGUCUCUGGGCCGAUACUGACGCUGAG
rnacentral:rRNA from 1 species